rnacentral:rRNA from 1 species
GACGAACGCUGGCGGCAUGCCUAACACAUGCGAGUCGAGCGAGCAGAUCCCUUCGGGGUGAAGCUAGCGGCGGACGGGGGAGUAACACGUUGGCAACCUGCCUCAUAGAGGGGAAUAGCCUUCCGAAAGAAAGAUUAAUACCGCAUAAGAUUGUGGCUUCGCAUGAAGCAGCAAUUAAAGGAGCAAUCCGCUAUGAGAUGGGCCCGCGGCGCAUUAGCUAGUUGGUGAGGUAACGGCUCACCAAGGCGACGAUGCGUAGCCGACCUGAGAGGGUGAUCGGCCACAGUGGGACUGAGACACGGCCCAGACUCCUACGGGAGGCAGCAGUGGGGAAUAUUGCACAAUGGGGGGAACCCUGAUGCAGCAAUGCCGCGUGAGUGAUGACGGCCUUCGGGUUGCAAAGCUCUGUCUUCGGGGACGAUAAUGACGGUACCCGAGGAGGAAGCCACGGCUAACUACGUGCCAGCAGCCGCCGUAA